ACACGUGGGUUACCUGCCCCGAUGACCGGGACAACCCGAGGAAACUCGGGCUAAUACCGGAUGUGGUCUUCGGACGAAAGGAAGCUUCGGCCUCCGCAUCGGGAUGGGCCCGCGGCGCAUUAGCUUGUUGGUGGGGUAAUGGCCUACCAAGGCGACGAUGCGUAGCUGGUCUGAGAGGACGAUCAGCCACACUGGGACUGAGACACGGCCCAGACUCCUACGGGAGGCAGCAGUGGGGAAUCUUGCGCAAUGCGCGAAAGCGUGACGCAGCAACGCCGCGUGAGGGAAGACGGCCUUCGGGUUGUAAACCUCUUUCAGUUGGGACGAAGCUUCAGCCGUUAAUAGCGGCUUGGAGUGACGGUACCUUCAGAAGAAGCCCCGGCUAACUACGUGCCAGCAGCCGCGGUAAUACGUAGGGGGCAAGCGUUGUCCGGAAUCAUUGGGCGUAAAGCGCGUGUAGGCGGCUCGGUAAGUCCGCUCUGAAAGUCCAGGGCUCAACCCUGGAACGCGGGUGGAUACUGUCGGGCUCGAGUCCGGAAGAGGUGAGUGGA
rnacentral:rRNA from 1 species